rnacentral:rRNA from 1 species
UACGUAGGGCGCAAGCGUUGUCCGGAAUUAUUGGGCGUAAAGAGCUCGUAGGCGGUCUGUCACGUCUGCCGUGAAAACCCGAGGCUUAACCUCGUGGCUUGCGGUGGAUACGGGCAGACUAGAGGUAGGUAGGGGAGAACGGAAUUCCCGGUGUAGCGGUGAAAUGCGCAGAUAUCGGGAGGAACACCGGUGGCGAAGGCGGUUCUCUGGGCCUUACCUGACGCUGAGGCGCGAAAGCGUGGGGAGCAAACAGG